CCUGCUCUGUGAUUGGCUGUUGGUUUACCAUGGACUGUGUGAUGUCCUGGAACUUUCUCCAGACCUUGAACAUGGUUGAGAACAUGGUUUUCCAGGACCCUUGAAUCAUCUUCAUAAAGAUCUCAAGAACCGUUCAGUGUGUCUUCCAGUCAGUGAAUGUCUCUCAUCCAGGAUGAACGUGCCGCUCUCGCUCUGGUUCGUUCUGCUAAUGUCAACCUGCUGUGGAGGUGAUGAGUCGUCGACCACAGAUUAUUAUUAUUAUGAUGAUAAUCCCACAGCGACACCAGAUUAUGACUACAAUGCUACGUUCAACUAUUACUUUGCCAACUGUAGCGUUAGCGGUGACUGCGUCAUCAGUGCAGUUUCAGACAUCGACAACGCGGCUGCAGCCAUUGGUCAGUUGACCUCUCUGAUCCCACUAGGAUUGGCUGUUGCUCACAUGUGCAACUGAUGGAGUGGGCGGAGUCAGAGAUCACAGGACGCGGUGCUGACCGAGACGACUUCUCAGGUGACCCCGUCCUGCAGAGGACACGCCCACACAAACACAGACGGUCGCGGGGGCUGCUGUGCCAAUCUCAGCUACAUCAGGCGACAGGCGGGGUACACCCUGGACAGUUCGCCAGUCCAUCGCAGGGCCACACACACAGAGACAAACAACCAUUCACUCUCACACCUAUGGUCCAAUUUACCUAAUCCCUAAUUUUGGAAUGUGGGAGGAAGCCGGAGAAUUCCAACCGAGGAUCGAACCCGGGUGUUCUUGCUGCCUGGCAAGAGCGGCAACUACUACACCACCGUGUCUGAUACGUGUUUUUUGGCUGAUAUCGGAUCAGGACAUCCCUAAAAUAAAGUAGUCAACACAUCCAUUAUUA